CCGAUCACAAAGGGGAGCCAUCUGGCUGAGAAUGAGUAAACUCUAAACCCUCUGUACCUGUUUCGAUCAUGCGAACGUAGGAAUUGUGACGAGUUAGAAG
rnacentral:ncRNA from 2 species